rnacentral:lncRNA from 1 species
GUCUGUUUUUAUAUUUUUAGUUAUAAAAUUAACUUGUUUAAUUUUGCUAGUAUAGUUUAAAGAUAUUUAUGCCUGAACAUGCGCUUAUAAAUAAAUAGAUCAUUCGCACAUCGAACAUUAUUAUUAAUUAUGUUACAAAAUCGCACGAGAUUGUCUAUUUUCAAAAACGGAAUUUUUUUACCAAUUUAAAACUGUUCAGGAAAAAAUUGCAUUCUAUACACAUUUAAAUUAUUCUAAAUUCACCUAAGGAUCUUCUUCUACACAUGUUGUUUAUUAGCCAUGCUUUCGCGAGAUAAGCCUGCAUCGGUCUACACAAGUCUGCCGGUAAUUUGAUAUAGAGCAAGUUAAUAAAUACUUUACACAAAGGGAUCCCGUCACGUGGAAAAUUUAGCGGAGUUGAAGAAUCAUGCAAACGAGACAAAACUUGAAAGCUUCAAUUACUGGAUUACGUUUUUGGAUUUAUAAUAUUAGGCUUAUGUCGCUAUAAUGUGAAAUAAAGAUGAUUAAAUACA